UACGGAGGGUGCAAGCGUUAUCCGGAUUCACUGGGUUUAAAGGGUGCGUAGGUGGGUCUGUAAGUCCGUGGUGAAAUCUCCGAGCUUAACUUGGAAACUGCCAUGGAUACUAUAGGUCUUGAAUACUGUGGAGGUCAGCGGAAUAUGUCAUGUAGCGGUGAAAUGCUUAGAUAUGACAUAGAACGCCAAUUGCGAAGGCAGCUGGCUACACAAAUAUUGACACUGAGGCACGAAAGCGUGGGGAUCAAACAGG
rnacentral:rRNA from 1 species